rnacentral:lncRNA from 1 species
UAUAGAAGUAAUUAAGGCUAAAUUUGGUUGUAAGGGUGGGACCCUGAUCCAACAGAAUCAAUGUCCUUGUAAGAAGAGCCAGGAGAGAGCUUGCUUUCUCUCCACUAUGUGAGGACACCGUGAGGAGGCAGCUCUCUGCAAGCCAGAAGAAGAGCCCUCUCUGGAAACCAAAUCAGCAGUUGGAGCAAAACAGGAAGUAGUAAACAUUCCUUGAAAUCUAUUUCAGAGCUGUUCCUUUGGGGCUAUGAAAUAAAAGACAAGACUGGUAGAAAUGACUUAAAAUGCAAAAAUGGCAAAGGUAAUGAUCACUGUGGGUAGGUUAUAAACGACUGUGGAGAUUUGGGGAGGCUAAAUCAUCCAGCCAACGGAAA